CUACGGGUUGCUGCAGUCAAGAAUCUUCCGCAAUGGCCGAAAGGCUGACGGAGCGACGCCGCGUGGAGGAAGAAGCUCUUCGGAGUGUAAACUUCUUUUAUUAGGGAAGAAUCAAUGACGGUACCUAAUGAAUAAGGGGCUGCUAAACUCGUGCCAGCAGCAGCGGUAAUACGAGUGCCCCGAGCGUUACCCGGAUUUAUUGGGCGUAAAGCGUACGUAGACGGUUUGGUAAGUUGAAUGUCAAAUCCCGUGGCUCAACCACGGGCCUGCGUUCAAAACUGCCUGACUAGAGGAUGGGAGAGGCAUAUGGAAUUGCCGGUGUAGCGGUUAUAUGCGUUAAUAUCGGCAGGAACACCAAAGGCGAAAGCAUUAUGCUAGAACACUCCUGACGUUAAGGUACGAAAGCGUGGGUAGCGAAUGGGAUUAGAUACCCGAGUAGUC
rnacentral:rRNA from 1 species